rnacentral:lncRNA from 1 species
AAACUGUAAACAACAAUAAUGUUCAGCAAAGUAAGAUUUACAAAUAAGUCAACAUGACCGAAAUGGUCAAUUGACCCCCUUAUGAGUUAUUGUUCUUUAUAGUCAAUUUUUAACAAUUUUCAUAAAAUUUGUAAAUUUUUACUAACAUUUUCCACUGAAACUAAUGGGCCAAGUUCAUUAUAGAUAGAGAUAAUUUUAAGCAGCAAGAAUGUUCAGUAAAGUAAGAUGUACAAACACAUCACCAUCACCAAAACACAAUUUUGUCAUGAAUCCAUCUGCUUCCUUUAAUAUUCACAUAGACCAAGGUGAGCGACACAGGCUCUUUAGAGCCUCUAGUUUUAAUUUGUU